rnacentral:rRNA from 1 species
AUUUUUCUUUGGAAUAUGUAUAUUUUUUGGAAGGCCCUCCUUUUUAGUGGAUCUUAUUGGCACAUGUAAGAAUGUUUAGUUUUUAUUUUUUGUGUGAUGCUUGUUUUCUUUUUGUGUUAAAAAACAGAUAAAUACUUGGCUUAUUGGUCUAUUUAUAUGUAUUACUAUUUUAAAUUUUUUUUGGAUGAUCUUUUAAUUUUUUUCCKAAAUUGGAAAAGAAAGGAAUUUAAUUUUAAAGGGGUUUUKAAUUUAAAAAGCAAAGGGGGACCAACCUUCCGUCAU